UACGUAGGGAGCGAGCGUUAUCCGGAAUUACUGGGUGUAAAGGGCGCGUAGGCGGGUGAACAAGUCAGGUGUGAAACCCAGAGGCUCAACCUCUGGACUGCACUUGAAACUGUACAUCUUGAGUGAUGGAGAGGCAGGCGGAAUUCCCGGAGUAGCGGUGAAAUGCGUAGAUAUAGGAAGGAACACCAGUGGCGAAGGCGACUACCUGGACUGAUACUGACACUGAGGUGCGAAAGCGUGGGGAGCAAACAGG
rnacentral:rRNA from 1 species